rnacentral:rRNA from 1 species
GAUGAACGCUAGCGAUAGGCUUAACACAUGCAAGUCGAGGGGCAGCACAAGGUAGCUUGCUAUCUGGGUGGCGACCGGCGCACGGGUGCGUAACGCGUAUGCAACUUGCCCUAUACAGGAGGAUAACCCGUCGAAAGACGGGCUAAUACUGCGUAUGCUCACAACUUGGCAUCAAGUGGUGAGGAAAGAAAUUCGGUAUAGGAUAGGCAUGCGUCCCAUUAGCUUGUUGGUGAGGUAACGGCUCACCAAGGCAACGAUGGGUAGGGGAACUGAGAGGUUUAUCCCCCACACUGGUACUGAGACACGGACCAGACUCCUACGGGAGGCAGCAGUGAGGAAUAUUGGUCAAUGGGCGCGAGCCUGAACCAGCCAAGUCGCGUGAAGGAUGACUGUCUUAUGGAUUGUAAACUUCUUUUAUACGGGAAUAACAAGAGUCACGUGUGACUCCCUGCAUGUACCGUAUGAAUAAGCAUCGGCUAACUCCGUG